rnacentral:rRNA from 1 species
UACGUAGGCAGCGAGCGUUGUUCGGAGUUACUGGGCGUAAAGGGUGUGUAGGCGGUUAUUUAAGUUUGGUGUGAAAUCUCCCGGCUCAACCGGGAGGGUGCGCCGAAUACUGAAUGACUUGGAGUGCGGGAGAGGAAAGUGGAAUUCCUGGUGUAGCGGUGAAAUGCGUAGAUAUCAGGAGGAACACCGGUGGUGUAGACGGCUUUCUGGACCGUAACUGACGCUGAGACACGAAAGCGUGGGUAGCAAACAGG